AGGGCCUCGCGCGAUGCGGUGGGAAGAUAAUAUAAUAAUAAAUUUCUAUAACUAUUAAUAUCAUUUUUUUUCUAUUAUGCAUUAAUGUUUUUAAAUAUUAUUUAUCUCAGUAUUGAAUUAUUAAAAAUUUAAAAAUAAAUUAAAGAAUGAAAUUAAAGUAUAUUUUUUUAAAAAAAUAUUUAAACCUAAUAAGUAAAAUAAAUAAAUCAAUUUAAAUAAAACAAAUGAUCAUUACAGUAUUAAAAAAGAUAAAUAGUA
rnacentral:lncRNA from 1 species